UGAUCUGUAACAAAUCUGAGUGAGGAUCUGGGGAUGAUCUGAAAGAGAUGAUUCCUGUCUUCGCAUCUGAAUAUAAAAAUCAGAUAUGAAUCAAUACAUCCUGAAGGCAGAUGCUGUUCUGCGUGAUGCCAGGAAACCUGAGCCAUGUGUCACCCACAUCUUCCAGAGGUGCAUGUAUGGCGUCAGCAAUCACAUCAGUAUCCAGGCUCCAGCACUGAUAAGUACAUUGUAAUCCACAAGAAUCUUCCUCUCUCCUUUGCUCCAGGGCAGAGGGAAGACCUGGGUGCAGCCAGCAUCAGCCCAGUGUUCCAGGUAUCUUUUGGUGUGAAGGGGUCCUGCACCAUGGCUUUUCCUGCAUCUCAACUUAGCUCUCUUCAAUCCCAUAUAUAAGCAGACA